GAAAUGCGAUAAGUAAUGUGAAUUGCAGAAUUCCGUGAAUCAUCGAAUCUUUGAACGCACAUUGCGCCCCCUGGCAUUCCGGGGGGCAUGCCUGUCCGAGCGUCAUUUCUGCCCUCAAGCACGGCUUGUGUGUUGGGUGUGGUCCCCCCGGGGACCUGCCCGAAAGGCAGCGGCGACGUCCGUCUGGUCCUCGAGCGUAUGGGACUCUGUCACUCGCUCGGGAAGGACCUGCGGGGGUUGGUCACCACCAUAUUUCACCACGGUUGACCUCGGAUCAGGUAGGAGUUACCCGCUGAACUUAAGC
rnacentral:misc_RNA from 1 species